rnacentral:lncRNA from 1 species
CACAGGUCCUGCUGCUGCUAUUAAGCAUUUGCAAGGUGACAGAUUGCCUCAAUGACGUGUCCAUGUGCUUCCUCAUUAUAAUGCCUCAGGUCUAGAAAAAAAGCCUGGACCCACCAAAAAGCUUUCACAGAUUGGAAAGUGCACAGUUUGGGGGUGUUUAGCACUUCAGCACAUGCUCUGUGACUGUGCAUUCAAGGCAACAUGUCACAAGAAAUUAGUCUGCAGCAGGCCACAUAUGUCAGCCAGCCGGUGGAAGCAUUUGCCCAACACCCAGGCAAGAGACUCAGAAGAAAAGGCUGCUCACCUUAAAUCGCCCUCACGGUUAGCACAUUGGUGAGAUCAUCCAGAAUCCUCUGCUCAGACUUACCUACACUUGUACAUUCAACUAUCAUCUUCUUCAAAGAAGAAACUGUGGCAGGUGCUAUUCCACAACCCAUGUUUAUGUUCAAGCUUUGUUGGAUUCCUGUUUGGGAAUUUCCUUCCGAGGCGGGCGGUGUCACAUUCAUUUGAAGUCAGUCAAUAAUGUCCUCCUGGGACUCCAGUAAGACAAGUCUUGCCUUUCAUGUGGACUCAUACAAUGUAGGUGCUCACAUUGGCGGAGUAAGAAGCACUGCACAGAAAUAGCUCAUUGGCAGAAUUGCGCUCUCAAGGAUGGAUAUCUUCAAGCCAUCCUUGACCCUCUAGAGCAGAAAGACAAACAAGUGUAAUGCUGAGGAAUGGGAAAAAUGUUUAAUUGCAAGCAGAAGAAUCUCACGUGAAAUUUUUACAAAUGAGGAAACGGAAGCACAAAAAGGCUGUGCUAAGGUCAAGCAGAUCAUACUGCCUAACAGGAUUUUGGCACCAUUGGUAGUCACUUUGACAUGUCAAUAAUGAUAAUUGCAAAGAAGACUGUUGUUCCAAGUAAUGGAUAACACAGCAUCUGAACCUACCUGGAUACUUUUUCAAUAUCUAAAGAAUUAUGUUGUAUAAAAAGAUGCUCGAAGCCCAGAAAAAAUAAAAGAUGAGCACUUCUGGAAAUUACUAUCUUAAACUUGUUCUGCAGAAUUACUCCAUUUUUGUCCUCUGUUAACAUUUUAAGAAGAUUCCAGUUCUUUUUGGACCUUUUUAGUUGUAAUGGAGCCCAGCCCAUGCCUUUGAGGCAGGGAGCAGGGAAAUGGUGAAAGUCAAGUGACUCUUAGCUUGCGCUGUUGUCAUCCUCUCUGGACUAUUGCUACAUUUCUAGGACCAUUAUUCAUAACAAAAACCAACUCAAAAUGGAUUAACGACUUAAACAUAAGGCUGGAAAUGGUAAAACUCCUUGAAGAAAACAUAGGAAAACGUGUCUUGACAUUGGUCUGGGCAACAAAUUUUUUUGGAUAUGACGACAAAAGCACAGGUAACAAAAUAGAUAAAUGAGAUUGCAUCAAACUAAAUGGUUUCUGCACAGCAAUGGAAACAAUCAACAGAGUGAAAAGGCAACCUAAAGAAUGAGAGAAAAUAUUAAUAUUUGCAAACCAUAUAUCAGAUUAAAAAAAAAAAAUCCCAAACCCAAAUAACCUGAUUUAAAAGUAGGCAAAGGACCUGAAAAGCCAUUUCUCCAAAGAAGACAUAUUAUGACCACCAACUAUAAGAAAAGGUGCUCAGCAUCACUAAUUGUGUUAGUCUGUUUUCACACUGCUGAUAAAGACAUACCAGAGACUGGGAAGAAAAAGAGGUUUAAUGGGCCUUAUAGUUCCACAUGGCUGGGGAGGCCUCAGAAUCAUGGUGGGAGGUGAAAAACACUUCUUACAGGGUGGCAGCAAGAGAAAAUGAGGGAGAAGCAAAAGCGGAAACCCCU